GGGACGAACGCUGGCGGCGUGCUUAGCACAUGCAAGUCGAGCGGAAAGGCCACUUCGGUGGUACUCGAGCGGCGAACGGGUGAGUAACACGUGAGUAAUCUGCCCCUGGCUUUGGGAUAGCCACCGGAAACGGUGAUUAAUACCGAAUAUGACAGACCCUCGCAUGGGGGUGUGUGGAAAGUUUUUCGGCCAGGGAUGUGCUCGCGGCCUAUCGGCUUGAUGGUGAGGUAAUGGCUCACCAUGGCUUCGACGGGUAGCCGGCCUGAGAGGGUGACCGGUCACGACGUGGGACUGAGACACGGCCCAGACCUCCGUACGGGAGGCAGGCAGGUAGGGGAAUAUUGGACAAGUGGGCGGAAGCCUGAUCCGAGCAACGCCGCGGUGAGGAUGGACCGGUCCGUUCGGGUUACGUAAACCUUC
rnacentral:rRNA from 1 species